rnacentral:lncRNA from 1 species
GGCUGCACCUGCGGCAUAUGGAAGUGGGCUAGGGGUUGGAAUUGGAGCGGUAGCCGCUGGCCUACACCACGGCCACAGCAACAUAAGAUCUGAGCCAUGUCUGAGACCUACACCACAGCUCACAGCAAUGCUGGAUCCUUAACCCACUGAGCAAGGCCAGGGAUCAAACCUGCGUCCUCAUGGAUGCUAGUCAGAUUCGUUUCUGCUGAGCCACUAUGGGAACUCCAAGAGUUUCAUACUUUCUUAUGGAACCAAAUAUACCUUCACCAUGAAAACUAACACUUCCUCAAGAAAUAAAAACAGGACCACAGAAAGAUUUCAACAGCAACACUCACAAAAACUUUGGUAUAGUAACCUCAAACAGUCUAAAUCCUUAUCUGGAGGUAAAUGGAUAAAAAGUAUGGCAUAUUCAUACAGCGGACUGCUACUCAGCUUAAAAAGGAAAAAACAAAACCCUACUGAUACAAGGAACAUGGGUGAAUCUCAAAAACAUACCACUGAGUGAAGGAAGGCAUCCGCAGAAGAGAAUAUAUAGUAUGAUUCCCCUUAUUUGAAACUCUAGAAGAGACAAAUCUAAUUUAGUGAUAGAAAGCAGACCAAUGGUUGUCUAGGGCCAGGACUGGGGGAGAGGGCAGGGGUUGCCUGAAGAGGGGUUCAAGGGAACUUUCUGGGGUGAUGAUGGGAGGUUCUAUAACCUGUUACUGGUUAUAUUUACAUAUAUGGUAUAAGUUUUUUGAAAUUUGUUGAAAUGUACACUGGCAAUGAGCACAUUUCCUUGUACGCAAACCCUACCUUUAAAAAGGUCAAGAACUGUUAUUUCACACAAAAUUAGAACAAGUUUUACAAAAUCACCUGUAAUCCUACCCUUUGGAAAUAAUCCUGUAAAUAUUUUGGCACAUAGUCCAAAUGACAUUGCAAACAUUUUCUUGGUAUAUAUGUCAUGUACAUUCAGUGUUUUACAAAAUCAGAGUCAUGUUACAUUUAGUAUUUUGUAACUUCCUUUUUCCAUUUAACAGCAUCUUGAACGUAUUUCCACAUCCUCAAAAGCACUCCCAUACCCACACUUUUAAUGGCUGUGGAAGCACUGCAUCCUAUGACUAUAUCCUCAUUUACAUCAUCCAGCCCUGCCUGUGGGAUAUUUAGGCUGUUUCCCAUUAUUCGCUAUCAUAACCAUGUUGAGCUAAACAUCCUCGGAGUUACAUCUUUUUGCUCAUCAAAUGGCUUCCUUGGUUGAAUUCCAAGCAGUGCAGGGGGCCAGGUCAAAGGCCCUGGUUAAGGCUGUGGAUGAGUAAUACCCCAGCAGCUCAGGACCCCAUCACUGUAGGAAUCUGGAUUUCCUUUAUCAGUGUGUGAGAUGCCCUUGAGGAUGAAUUCCAAGAGCCAGCCGCCUUUUUCCUGUUGGCUCCCCACCUCCGUUCUGUCGGAGGCGAGUCCUGAGGAACACUUGUAGAAUGCGCUCUUCUUGAGGGUGUGUGGGUGGAGGUGUGUGGAGGAGGGCCCUGGCACCUGCAGGGGGAAAUAUCUGAAUUGAUUGCUGGGAGCAUUUCUCUUCCUCUUGGAGCUGAGCAAGGCCUGCGGGUGGGAGGCCCCUCCGCCUGGCAGGGCUGGGAGGCAGGCCAGGUCAAGAGCCACACUCCCGAGCAAAUACCACCUGCUCCAGGUCAUUCUUGCAGCGUUAGCUGGGGCACUGCCCAGGGACCUCGCCUGGGGCACGGGUGGAGCUGGUGGCCAAAGGCCAGAACACACCCCAAAUCAGAAACUUCCCUCAUCUUUUCUUGCUGGUGUCCGAGAAGUGCUUGCCGUGGUCAGCAGGAUUUUGUUAAGUCAUGUGUCCACUGGAUCUCUCCAGGGUGGGCCACAGUAGGUAAAAAGCUACAAAAACAGGUCUCUGGCCCUUUUCUAGCUCAUUCCAGGGCCCUCCCCACAGAGCAUGUGAUACCUGCUAUACGAUCAAAUUUGGCCAAGAUUUCCAGAAGGCUGUUCUCUUUCCCCUCCUCUCCUCCCCUUCACCCCUUUCCUAUCGAAUAGAUAUUAGACCCCCCCCCCCACUUCUCCCUUGGGGGCUCAGAUGACUAUUCCACGGUCUGUCUCCUUCAGGGGUUCAUAUUUAAUUUUCUCUCCCCCCGGGCUCCGGUCCCCAGCGCCCCUCGCCCCGCAGGGAGGAGUCACGAGGGUCUCUGGGCAGCACGCAUAGGCACAGACACACACGAAGGUCACAGAGAACGUUCUGCAUCAGUUCCUGAGACAUUCCCUAUCUUUUCAGGCUCACAGCCCUUUAAUAGGUGCUCCGGAAGAUCCCCAAUCCUGGGGGUUCAUUGAAAAAGCCGUCAGGGUUGACAGACGUCCUCUUUGCGCCCAUGGAAAAGCACUUCCGGUUCACAAGAGCACUUCCCGGUUCGCGGAAAGUACUUCCGGCCCGAGGGCUAGGCGUGGAGAGGGGGGGCUUUGGGCUCUGGCCGUGCACCUCGAGGGCACAGCUUACCUCUGCGACACUCAGGUGUCCUCACCCAGGACUCCGGGCUGAGCACCGCGCGGGUGUGGUCCUGCUGUUGUGAGCGCCUGUAGUUAGUGUCCAGGGAGAGGUGGUCCGUCGGGGACGAAGCCAGGGACGGGGCGAAGGAACCGAGAGGCAGGACAGCUGCACUCGGGUAUGCCCAGGCUCGCUUUGCAGGGUUGGCGCCCAAGGUCCCGUGGAGGAAGGGGCACGAGGCCAGUUUUACCUCAUCGUGUGGAAUAACUUCGCAGCCCUGGAGGCAAACAAGCCAGAUGGCAGCUUCUUGGCAACUCAAGCAUUGGACCAGGUGAGGAGUCAACCAGCAUGUGGCCAGUGGAUGGACACGAGGGGGGAGUGUCUCACAGUACCUUGUCCAGUAAGGCCUUCACAGUUUUUGACUGUCAUUCUUACGUUAUUAAUAUCAUUGUGGAUAGUUUCUUUCCUUUGUUCUGUUCUAGACAUUCCUCCAGGGAGCAGGCAUUAGUGGGGUGCAAAAGAAGGGCCUUGUGAAAGUGUUCUCCUCCUGAGCUGUGGGGACCCCAGUGUGGUUGGUGGCUGCCUUGGGGCGAGGGACAGAUGGCGGUGUCCUUGGUGAGUGAAGCUCAUCUGUUUGUUUUGAAGGAAACCCUUCUGCCAACCCAGCCACCCUUAGCUGUCUCUGUCUGGCGAGUGGGUGAAAUCCAGGUGGGCUCCCUGGCAGGAGUGGUGGGAACGUUUGGCUGGAGCUGGCCCAUUUGUUCAUGGAGGAUGGGCAGGGGGCUUCAGGGAGCAAAGGGCAGGCAGGAAACCAGCAGCCCACCCAAGUUCCUGCCGGCACAGGCUGCAGUGGGCAGAAACUGCUUCCUCUCUUGCCCGGCAUUGAGGAGAAAGGAACUAGACUCAGUUCCUGAAUUGGAAAGGAGAGGAAAGGCAAGGCUGUGAACUAUUGACAGCACUGCACUUUCCCCAGCUCUGGGAGUGAUUUGCAUGGGAACCCACGAGGCGGAAGCAGUAUUUUAGCAGCUGCUUUCCAAGGCUGAUGAACAGCAGGAGACGUGGCAGUGAAGACAACACAUCCAGAUUUCCGGUCCCCAAGUCUUUUCAGAAAAGCAGCAAACUCUGUUUGUGGCACCUGGGCGUCUCCCAUGCCAUGGCGGGUCUCGUGGGCCCAGGCAGCUGGUGCCACCCUUGCCAGAAGUGCCACCUGGGCCAGGUGCCCUCCCGCCCCGGCUCUGCACCUGGGUGUCCUUGGCUGGUCACAUCAUUUGUUGCAAGACGUGUGUACAGACUGAACUGAGGUUAUACGCAGAAAGUUGCUACUACUUAUGACUGCAAAUCUCUGCAUCCUGGACAUGAAUCAGACCUUGCUCAAUGGCCUCUAAGUAGCUCGACGUAUUUAAUGUUUCUGAUGGCAAGCAAGUCAGUAAGGACUUGCAGCAGCCACCGUAAAGUCACAACAGGGGUGUGAGUGUCCAUGCCGAGCUUGGCAGGUGACAGGCACUCAAUCGACGGACUUGUCAUAUCGAUCAGAUCGUUAGGGAGAGACCGCGGGAGAAACGAGGUACGGGUGAAGUGACCAGAAGGACAGAAGACGCAGGCCGGCAGCAUGAAAGCAGGACGCGGCCUCAGCCUGAUGCCCUGGGGGCUCCGGAGGCCCCAUCCACGGCAGAGCUGCUUUCCAAGUCCCAGCCGGUGAGCCAGGGGCUCAGGGCUGCGCUGGGGUCUGGUGGGUCUGUAGCCCUUGGAUAGUUCUCAGAAGGGAGCUCAGGUGCUUGGCUGGAGGAGCAGAAGCACAGAGAGGCUGCGGGAAGAACACCCCGAAGCCGUGAAAGUGAUGCAGCUCCAUCCGGCUGGGGCACCAGAGGUGUCUGUCUGUCUGAAGGCUGACUGGAGGCCGGGGCUGCUGGCACUUCCCGGGAGCCGCCAGGAGCCAGGGCACACUCUGCUCUUGUUUGCUGGUGAUUUGGGGCAAGUCUCUCCCCUGAUCCUUGUCUCAUCAACUGAAAUGCUCAUUUCUUCCCGCUGCACCUCCUCUGCAACUCCCUCCCUGUUCCCACCCAACUGUGGGUGCCUCCCUGAGGCUCCCCUUGCUUGUGAGUGUGCCGAUUGCGCUGGCCUCAGCCAUGUGCCCUGAGCCAGACAUCCUGGAUGCGUGUGCGGCCUCAGCCUGCCCAGAGGCUGAGAGGAGAGAAGUGUGGGGAGAAAGACGGGGGAGGAGGGAAGGGGAGAGAGGCGGGUGCUCAAGACACAGCAGGGGGAGGGACCAGUCCCCCACCCCCCACCCCGCAAGAGCACGGUGGCCCGGUGUUCCCAGUGCUGAGUCUCACCCAGGCCUAGUUCUCUCUGUCACCCGGGCAGUUGCUAAGCAUCCUUGGACCCACAGCAAGCUUCCGGCCACAUACGUUCCAAGCACCUGCUGUGCGCCGGCACAGGGCACCUGCUGUGUGCAGGCCCAGGGCAGUGAAGCCUGGGGCAGCCUCUGCUUUCAUGGGGCUCGCGUUAUAUACGGAGGUUCGACUUCACUCAGGGCACCAUGUCAAGGAAACUCCAGGUAGGGGUUUCCUGUGGGCUCGCAGUCAAGGGCGGGGGUCCUUGCUGGUGGAGACCCUGAUGGCCUCAGCCUUCACCGUGGGCCUUGAGCAAAGACCCUCCCACGGCCCCUCCGCACUGCAUUCCUGGGGGCGUGAUCUGGACCCUGGCUACCCCUCAGGCUCAUUCAUUUUCACUGGCCCUGCCCCAGAACGUUCUAAGUGCAUAUGAAUUGAAUGCUGGCUCUCACCCCAAUCUCUGCCCCCGCCCCCAGCCCCGGCCAGCAAUUCCUUACCUCGAGGAGGUCAAAGAACAAGCAGAGGAGCGUUUUAAUUGGUCUGCCGGGGGCAUCCCGGCGCUGAGAGCCUCCCCCAGAGGCCCCUGCCCUCCCUUCCCCGUUUAGGUCCAUCCUCAGCCCUGACUGCUCACCUGUCUGCCCUGGGCUGUCACCCUUCCAAAUAGCCAUUUCGGGGGUUACCCCUGUGGAGGGGGGCGGCGCUUGCUGACCAGCCCGGCAUCACCUUUUGCUCGUCGGGGAUGAGAGUGAAGCGAUGUCCCAGCUGCCAAGCGCGGCAGGCAGUCCCUGCCGGGGUCCUGGUUAAAAAGCCUCCAUGGAGGACAUUUAGGGGACAGCUGGGAGAGAUGUAAACACGGACCCGGGAUCAGAGGAUAUUAGGGAAUUCUUGCUACUUUUUCUCGGGGAAUGAAUCGCACUGUGAGCACACAAGGAAUGUCUCUCUCUGGAGAUGCUGCAACACGGAGGGUGGCGGUACCGGCGGCUGGAAGAGACAAGAUGUGGUCCAGCAGUGUCUGUCCGACUUUCUGCUGAGCAGAAACUUUGGCAAAAAGAUUGUAGUGUUGAGUCUGAGUCAUGGAUAUAUGGGAAGCAUUUGCUUUCAUUACUGAUUUUCUCGAUUUGUGCCUUGUUCUAUAGACGUGUAAAAUCUUGUUUGAGGGCAGGUAACCCACACGGCGAGGUCGCAGGAGCUGACCGCUCAGGCGCGGGGGCCGGAUGCCACCUGAGCUG